rnacentral:rRNA from 1 species
GACGAACGCUGGCGGCGUGCUUAACACAUGCAAGUCGAACGGAAAGGCCCAUUUGGGGGUACUUGCGUGGGGCACGGGUGGGUAAGACGUGCGUAACUUGCCCUUGCCUUCGGUCGAGCUUCAGGAAGCUGGGGCUAAUACAGGAUAGGCAUCAUCGCUGUAUGGUGGGGGUUGGAGAGCUUCGGCGGUUUUGGCUGGACUCGCGGCCUAUCAGCCUGUUGGUGGGGGAGUGGGUUACCAAGGCUUUGACGGGUAGCCGGCCUGAGAGGGCGAGCGGCCACAUUGGGACUGAGAUACGGCCCAGACUCCUACGGGAGGCAGCAGUGGGGAAUAUUGCACAAUGGGCGGAAGCCGGAUGCAGCAACGCCGCGUGCGGGAUGACGGCCUUCGGGUUGUAAACCGCUUUCAGCAGGGGCGAAGCUUGUUGUGACGGUACCUGCAGAAGAAGCACCGGCUAACUACGUG